GGCCGGUUAGCUCAGUUGGUUAGAGCAUGUUGCUACUAACACCAAUGUUGCUGGUUCAAUCCCCGCACCGGCCA